ensembl:lncRNA
ACGGUGCGGCGUCCCGUCCUGCGGCGGCUCGCCUCGGAGCUGGGCUCGACGUGUGCCGCCGGCUGUCGGGCUGGUCCCGCUGGGACAGCGAGGAGUGCGCGGCCUCCCCCGGGCAGGUGUCUGACAGUCCCCGCGGCCGUGCGGUGUCCGCUCCGCUCCGGAUCAAGGAGGAUCCUCGGGACUGCGCCCCGGAGUGCCCGCUGUCGUGCGGCUGGAGUUUGGGAAGGCGGCGGUGGGUAGGGCGUGCGCUGCCAGCGCACCCACAGGAGCGCCUGAAGCAGAGCCCGAGUGUUUACUUAAAACCAGAACUAGCCGUGUUCCCUUCGCUGUGUAUGUCUCCGGGCAGAGAAACCCAAGCGGACUCGUGUGCAGGACUAUGGAUCCGCUCAUAUCUUUAUGGUUAUGGCAAAACCUUUCAUCAUCAGCCGAUGGUAUAAUGGACUACCAGUUGGAUGAUACACAGUCGUCUGAAACAUGAUAUAUACUUCUCCUCAUCCGUGUCCAUGGGUGAGUGGAGGGAGCAGCUUUCUUCCAGGAGAGUGUUUUACUGGAAGAGGGGGAAGAUCUUCAUGGUUAAAAGUCUGUCAGAGCUGUGUUACAAGUGCUGGGUUGGCAUGCAGCAAUGUACAUGGCCCAUAUGCUGACACAGUACCAGUUUUGUUUCCAAAAGUGGAGUUCACAGAAUUACAGUGUCUGAUCCAACUAGCUGCUCUGAUGAUCCUCACUGGACCAUGUGUCAGUGGCACAACUGUUCCAUUGCAGAAAAUUUUAUAAUGGAUGCUGAAUUUCAGGAUACCUGAAAAUACCUGCGCAGUUUUGAUGUGGAAGGAAAACAAUAAAGAAAGUGUCUAAAAUGAUAUGGUUAGCUUC